rnacentral:lncRNA from 1 species
AUGGUUAAAGGGGGGAGGAGUCUCUUUAAAGUUACACCUUCUGAGACAACACUGAUAUUUAUUAUCUCUCACAAUAACAACUGGUGUACAACAACGGAGCCAGCAACAAUGAAGAGAUGGAUCACAAUGCUGCUCAUCUGCUUAAUUUUUUUAGAAGCUUUACAGGUGUCUGAAGCACUGAGGUGUUACGGAUGUAAGUUCUCACCAUGUACGACGAUUGUGGACUGCCUCCAAACUCAGAUUUACUGCUAUACCUCGGCGAAACAAAAUGAAGUCACAAAAAAAUGUGCAGACAAAAUGCAGUGUGGACUGCUGAUCAAUGGGACGAUGCCGACUUGCUGUACGACAGAUCUAUGUAACGAAGCUACGGAGGUUCAGCUCGGUCUCUUUGUCAUGUUGGGACCCCUGUUUUCCUCCAUCCUCUUUCUCUGAACUCUCUGCUGCCCCUCUGAAAUGUUAGGGAAAAGUCAUGUCAUUUUCCUAAUUCUACAUUUUUAAAAUCUAUUUGCACCCAUUGUUAUUGUGUGUGGUCUAAGAUGCAUUAACAUUUUUAUUCACUUAAUCAUCAGUAAAUGUAGUAGCAAAGUGUUUUCAGGUCGACAUUUACUUUUUAGUUUUAUGUCACUUUGAAAAGCCAGAUAACAGGAGUUGUGGUGGUUAAAGUGUAUGAUGGCAUUUUAGGGACUUUAUUCUACAACUAUUAUGAUAUGAUUCUCAAAACUUUCUGACGUUUUUCUUAAGUUAUUACGACGUUUAUUCAUUAUGACUUAUAUCUUAAAUUAUUAGCAUACGACUUUAUUUUUGAAAUUGUAGGACUUUGUCCUUAAAGUAUUAUGAUUUUAUUUUUGAAACAUUAUGACAUAUCUUAAAUUAUUAGCCAACGACUUUAAUCUUGAAAUUUUAUGACUUUGUCCUGAAAUUAUUAUGACUUUAUUUUUUAAAUAUUGUGACAUAUCUUAAAUUAUUAUCCUGACUUUAUUCUUGAAAUUGUAUGACUUUGUCCUUAAAUUAUGAUUUUAUUUUUGAAACAUUAUGACUUAUCUUAAAUUAUUAGCCUACGACUUUAUACUUUAAAUUGUGUGACUUUGUUCUUA